rnacentral:rRNA from 1 species
AUUGAACGCUGGCGGCAUGCUUUACACAUGCAAGUCGAACGGCAGCGCGGGGCAACCUGGCGGCGAGUGGCGAACGGGUGAGUAAUACAUCGGAACGUACCCAGAAGUGGGGGAUAACGUAGCGAAAGUUACGCUAAUACCGCAUACGUUCUACGGAAGAAAGUGGGGGACCUUCGGGCCUCAUGCUUUUGGAGCGGCCGAUGUCUGAUUAGCUAGUUGGUGAGGUAAAGGCUCACCAAGGCGACGAUCAGUAGCUGGUCUGAGAGGACGACCAGCCACACUGGGACUGAGACACGGCCCAGACUCCUACGGGAGUCAGCAGUGGGGAAUUUUGGACAAUGGGCGCAAGCCUGAUCCAGCAAUGCCGCGUGAGUGAAGAAGGCCUUCGGGUUGUAAAGCUCUUUUGUCAGGGAAGAAACGGCUGAGGAUAAUACCUUCGGCUAAUGACGGUACCUGAAGAAUAAGCACCGGCUAACUACGUG